UUUAUUGGAGAGUUUGAUCCUGGCUCAGGAUGAACGCUGGCGGCGUGCCUAAUACAUGCAAGUCGAGCGAAUGAAUUAAGAGCUUGCUCUUAUGAAGUUAGCGGCGGACGGGUGAGUAACACGUGGGUAACCUGCC
rnacentral:rRNA from 1 species